GACGAACGCUGGCGGCGUGCUUAACACAUGCAAGUCGAACGGAAAGGCCCUGCUUUUGUGGGGUGCUCGAGUGGCGAACGGGUGAGUAACACGUGAGUAACCUGCCCUUGACUUUGGGAUAACUUCAGGGAACUGGGGCUAAUACCGGAUAGGAGCUCCUGCUGCAUGGUGGGGGUUGGAAAGUUUCGGCGGUUGGGGAUGGACUCGCGGCUUAUCAGCUUGUUGGUGGGGUAGUGGCUUACCAAGGCUUUGACGGGUAGCCGGCCUGAGGGGGUGACCGGCCACAUUGGGACUGAGAUACGGCCCAGACUCCUACGGGAGGCAGCAGUGGGGAAUAUUGCACAAUGGGCGGAAGCCUGAUGCAGCAACGCCGCGUGCGGGAUGACGGCCUUCGGGUUGUAAACCGCUUUCGCCUGUGACGAAGCGUGAGUGACGGUAAUGGGUAAAGAAGCACCGGCUAACUACGUG
rnacentral:rRNA from 1 species